GGGGUGAAAGUAGAAUAGGGUUAUUGCAGGUACUGUGUCCGUAGGCUUUGUACAAGAGGAAGUUUUCUCUUGUACCCACAGUGGUCAGUAAUGGACUGGCCCGAGGUCUCGCUACAAACAAGCGGCUGCUGGAAGAAAGUAGGUGAGUUGUGUUUAGUCUCUUUGCUAAAGAAAUAAGGCAAAGUUAUGUUUGGUGGAUAGUACUAUGGCUAGGACCCUAUAUUGGUGUUGAUGAAGUUAGGUGCUGUUCUGAGCAUUAUUUGUGGUUAUAGAGUGGCUUUUUGGUUGAGGUUUGUUUAUGGCUCCUCAGACCGCUGUGUAUUGCUAUCUUACGGUCGUUACUAAAGUUGGUAUAACUUGAGAAGCAAGCGGUCGGCAACAUUCAUCUCUCGAGGGGGUGUCUAAUACUGUGUCACGGUGUGUUUGGCCCUAAAUUAAAUUUACACCGGAAUAUCCCUUUAAGAUUGAAGCAGCUAUCUCUUUAAAAGUUCCUCAGCGUCUAGGCAACCAGCGUCCAAUCAAAAGUGCGCACUGUGCUCUUCGGAGUUUGUUUGUUUGCGGAAGCAAAUACGACUCAGUCGCAAGCAGCAUGGUCCCAUUGGAUUACUACGGUUACAAUGCCGAGUGCAGAUUGACGUGCGGCAACACGGUAAGCAAAUGUAGCCUACUUACACUGAAGGGGUGAAAGUUUGCGUACCGACAGUAAACUGCUGUUUAUGUCUUCCCGGUACGACGUACCGCGGCGUACCGACUUCCCUUCACAGUUUGGGGUUCCUUUCUCAGGCAAGAGUCCUUGUAUCUGAGGGUCUUGUUCACAGCAGAUUAUAGGUUAUACAUUAUCAACAGUGAACCAAAGUCCUAUCCAGUAAAGUCUCCCAGCCCCUUUGCGGGAACCAGGGGUGUUUCCGGGACAGAGGGAUGUUGGGUCAUCUCCAAGGUCUCUUGUUAGACAAACUGGAUUGGAAAUAAUUCAUUUCUGAAGUUUUCCUGCUGCCUGCUGAACAGGAGAAACUGGCUCAUUUUGGCUCCUCAGAGUUUGUCGAAGUAGACAUCACAGCAGAGUCAGGUGUGUGUGUGUGUGUGUGUGUGUGUGUGUGUGUGUGUGUGUGUGUGUGUGUGUGUGUGCCUGAUUGCUCCUGAUUGGUCACAGAUGUGGGGAGGUUACAGAUUCUGUUGUGCUCCAGGUCCAUGUGCUGACUUAUUAGCUCAUUUGCUGUGGUUGUGAGAGGGUCUCCCUCUGUGUGACGUCUGUGUUUGCUCCAUAAGAGCUUCAAGCCUUGUUGGGUGGUUCCUUCUCUGUUUUCAGUGGUUGUCUUGAAAGUGGUAGACUCAGAAAUAGGACUUUAAAGCUUCAAGCCAACUGUACACAACUUCCCACCAAUCAAAGUUAAAUAUAACAACUUAAGGGGUAUUGUCUGAUUGAGGUCAUAGUGAUAUUCCUGUGUGCCAAUGAAGGAAGUAAGUUAUUGAUAUAUGACAGUUGUGCAUCAGGAACUUUGCAGGAAAGCCAUCAUGAACAGAUUUCUUUAUUUCUUGAUGCAUUAACUUAUCAAAGUCUUUACGGACUAAUCCUGAGGAAACCAUGAAUUUAUGUGCAUGAUUGUGUCCAAAUGCAUUCAGUAGUUAUUAAAAUAUUUCACUCUGGACCAAAGUGAUGGACUGAAAUUGCAGCGCAUUGAGACGCGCUCCAUGAAAAUAUGAUAUUUAAGUUCACACUUUGCUUAAAUAAGCAGUUUCCUCCUGUUUUAGCACAGAGGACAAAAAGCUAGAGCAGUAAAUUGCCAUAAGUGGGUUGUAAUAGAAAGAGGCAGCCAAAGGUUAUGAAUACAGAUGGUUAAGUGAUUUACAUUAAACUCAGAUUUAGUGUAAUUUUCCCAGCAGCCCUCCAGCGCCCGUUCAAUGUGUGUGCAUAUGUGCAUUAACCAAAGCACAUAAAGAUCCCUGGCUUAAAACCAGAGGAGCUCAGACUCAGAUGUAGAAAGACAGGAGUGAGUUUAUCUCUCUGCAGAGACAAUGAGACCCCAGAGAGGACGGAGAGAGAGUCUGACAAGAUCACCUCUGCACGUCAGAAACAUCACAAAAGCACAAAGUCUGCAGACUAAAGCUUUAUCUGUUAGACCAGUCCAGUCUCCUCUGAGUGUGUGUGUGUGUGUGUGUGUGUGUGUGUGUGUGUGUGUGUGUGUGUGUGUGUGUGUGUGUGUGUGUGUGUAUGUGCAUGUGUGUGUGCGUGUGUGGCUCCAUGCCAGCUCCUCUGCUGGGCUCU